GUGUUAGUGUCUGUUAGUGUGUGUGUAUGUUAGUGUGUGUGUGUGUCUGUUAGUGUGUGUGUGAGUCUGUUACAGACACACACACUAACAUACACACACUAACAUACACACACACUAACAGACAC